rnacentral:rRNA from 1 species
UACAGGGGGUGCAAACGUUGCUCGGAAUCAUUGGGCGUAAAGCGCACGUAGGCGGUCUGUUAUGUCGGAUGUGAAAGCCCUUGGCUUAACUGAGGAAGUGCAUCCGAAACUGGCAGGCUAGAGUACUAAAGAGGGUCGCGGAAUUCCCGGUGUAGAGGUGAAAUUCGUAGAUAUCGGGAGGAACACCAGUGGCGAAGGCGACUACCUGGCCUGUUUCUUGACGCUGAGGCGCGAAAGCUAGGGGAGCAAACAGG